rnacentral:rRNA from 1 species
GACGAACGCUGGAGGCGUGCUUAACACAUGCAAGUCGAACGAUGAAAUGGAGCUAGCUCCAUGGAUUAGUGGCGAACGGGUGAGUAACACGUGAAUAACCUGCCCUUAAUUUUGGAAUAACCCAGGGAAACCUGGGCUAAUACCGGAUAAGUAAACCUGUGGCAUCACAUGGUUUUGGAAAGUUUUUCGAUUAAGGAUGGAUUCGCGGCCUAUCAGCUUGUUGGUGAGGUAAUGGCUCACCAAGGCGACGACGGGUAGCCGGCCUGAGAGGGUGAACGGCCACACUGGGACUGAGACACUGCCCAGACUCCUACGGGAGGCAGCAGUGGGGAAUAUUGCGCAAUGGACGAAAGUCUGACGCAGCGACGCCUCGUGAGGGACGAAGGUCUUCGGAUUGUAAACCUCUUUCAGCAGGGACGAAGCGAAAGUGACGGUACCUGCAGAAGAAGCACCGGCUAACUAUGUGCCAGCCGCCGCGGUAA